rnacentral:lncRNA from 1 species
CAACUUCGAAUUUCUCAAGGCAAAAUUUCAUAAACUCUUGACCAAAUGGCCUCUUGUACACUAAUAAACAACAAACAAACCCAAUUAAGAUAAAUAAAAAAAACAUUGUUAUGAAGUAUAAUCUUGAAACGUUUCCAAGAUUUGGCCCACCAGAUGCAUCUGGUGAACGUUUCAUACGCCCGUUUUUUUUUUUUUUAUAUGAGCUCUGUGUAAGAGUAGACCACGCGGACUUAAGAUCAAGAAUUUCUUCUUGUAUUUCUUGGGUCCUAAGCUAAGUAUAUCCAGUGUCGAACUCAGUUCUGUAUGCUCUGAAGCUGUGUCACAUGAGUACUCAUCGUCGAUGCCACAUUUUUGCCAUUGGUACUAGUAACUGACUAGUCACUGUUACUUGUCAUUGGCGAUUUAGCUUCACGAGGUCAAACACCAUUUAUUUUGCGUGGUUCUUUGUAUACUGACUAAUGUCGAUACAUCUUUCCAUCUCUCUUUUAAAGUUGAUGAACCCAACAUUUCACAAUGUUAAAAUAUUAAAACCCUGAUGAAUCUGUACUGAAUCGACGUUGUGAACGAAUGAAACUCGAAUCAGACAGCGAUGAAUGGUCCGAUUUUGAGGUGGAGGAAGACAGUUAUGAAUCUGAAGAACUAGUUGAUUCUGAAUCAGAAGAAGAUCCUGUUUCAGACAGCGAAGAAGACAGUUCCGGAUCUGAAGAACUAGUUGAUUCUGAAUCAGAAGAAGAUCCUGUUUCAGACAACGAUGAAUGGUCCGAUUUUGAGGUGGAUGAAGACAGUUGCGGAUCUGAAGAACUAACUGAUUCUGAAUCAGAGGAAGCAACUGUUUCAGACAAGAAGAAGACACCAACUUCUUCUUCUUCAACUCAUAAAGGUAACGAUACGAAAACUCCAUUUGAAGCAGAGUCAAUCUCAGAUGCAAACAAACCAGCUAUAAAGGUGGCUCUUGUUGCAGACGACAAGACCAUGAAGAAGGAGAAAGUUGAGGAGAUAGUUCUGAAGGACAAUGGGAAGAGAAAAACAGAGGCCGAGGAUAAGAAGAAGACGAUCGAUGAAAAGAGCUUUCAAGG